CCUACGGGCGGCUGCAGUGGGGAAUAUUGGACAAUGGGGGCAACCCUGAUCCAGCCAUGCCGCGUGUGUGAAGAAGGCCCUCGGGUUGGAAAGCACUUUCAGUGAGGAAGAACGCCUGGUGGUUAAUACCCAUCAGGAAAGACAUCACUCACAGAAGAAGCACCGGCUAACUCCGUGCCAGCAGCCGCGGUAAUACGGAGGGUGCGAGCGUUAAUCGGAAUUACUGGGCGUAAAGCGCGCGUAGGUGGAUUGAUAAGCCGGUUGUGAAAGCCCCGGGCUCAACCUGGGAACGGCAUCCGGAACUGGCAAGCUAGAGUGCAGGAGAGGAAGGUAGAAUUCCCGGUGUAGCGGUGAAAUGCGUAGAGAUCGGGAGGAAUACCAGUGGCGAAGGCGGCCUUCUGGACUGACACUGACACUGAGGUGCGAAAGCGUGGGUAGCAAACAGGAUUAGAUACCCGUGUAGUC
rnacentral:rRNA from 1 species